rnacentral:misc_RNA from 1 species
CCGUCGGCACACCCAGAGAAACAGAGAGGCUUUCGUGGCCGCGUGAACGCUUGCGUCCUAAAACGAGGUCGCUCUGCCGUAUCAUGCAGCGCCAUUGCACGCCAGUACCAGGGCCGCGUGGUGCGCCGUCGCAGAACCCCCGGCGCCCGCCGCAGGCCUCUGCCAAGCCACCCGCAAGGCGCGCAUCGCGUCGCGGCAGUGCCGCCACGACUUCUGCGCCCGGCGGGAUCGAGCUCACGCGGGCCCAGCAAAUCGAGGCCAAGGCUGCACGCGACGCGGUUGUGGGGGCCAUGACGAAGAGCUCCCCGCAAACAGCGAAGAAGUUUGUGGAGUCGAUCUCGCUUGAUAUAGAUGUGGAGACAACACGGCAGCUGCUGUGCAGUAAUAAAGGCUUCGUUGCCCUGCCGUCCUCGAUUGGAGUCCUCUGCCGUCAGCUGCGGAAGCUGGACUUGUCGGGCAAUGACCUCACAGACCUCAGUCCCCUGGCCACGCUGCAGCACCUCUCUAACCUGAACGUCGCGCACAACGGCCGGCUUGCUUCGCUGAAGGGCUUGUCCGGGACGUGCCUCUCCGUUCUGAACAUCUCCUUCUGCGCGGUGGAGUCGCUGGAAGGGCUCGAGCACACCGCCCUCACCCUGCGCACCCUCAUUGCCAACGACAAUCGCCUGCAGUUGCACUCUCCGCUCCUUGCCGAUGUCGUGGCGACGGCUGGCGAGGAUGCAGUGAAAAUGGAAGCUGCACGUGAGCACCUACCUGAGUCCUUGCGCAGGAGCAGUAGUCACAGCAGUGCAGACCUGCGUGCGGUGGCGCAACGCAACUACGACAUUUUUUCCACCUUUCAGCAGUGCGAGACUGUCGUGCUGUCUCGCAACACGCACCUCUGCCAGCUCUUUCCGACCUGGGGCGUGGAGCAGGUGGCGACAGAGUGUGGUGAGGUUCCAGGUCGCGCGAGUGCAGCGGCGGAUGACGAGGAUAGCGACGACGCGGCCGACGGCGCCUCCACCUCCAUGUCCGCUGACGACGACGGCGGCGAUUCCGCGAGUCGUGGAAAGAAGCGCCGAGCGUCCGCGGCUGAGCGACAUAAUCACCGAGGGAUUGCUGCACACCCGACGGAUCGGUCGGCCUCCAACACCGCUGCAGCCGCUCGCGAACCCUUCGGUGGCUCACCGGAGAUGUCGGCGUACAAUCAGCGGCGGCACGCGCUGGCCUUGGCGCACCCCCUCUCUGUGUUUGAGAGGCUGUCACGGCUGAGGAAGCUGUCGCUGAGCGGCUGUGAGUUGCACUCGUUGCCGGUGCGGUGGUUUCUGCCCAUGGUGACGGAGCUGCGGCUAGCACAGAACCACCUCACCUCUCUUCAGCCGGAUGGCGUCAUUUUGCGCUCCCUGCACAUCCUCGACAUCAGCAACAACCUCUUCGCAUCUGUGGCGUCCCUACGCCGGUGCCGCUACCUGGAGCAGCUGAAUGUGCGCGGCAACCCGCUCAUCGAGGAGGGUGCCCUGCAGGACAAGGCAGCCGGACUAACCACCGCUGAGCGAAUCGCAGACGUGGCAGCGACGACCUCUUCCUCAGGCACCAGUGCGGUUCCCAUCGCGGUGCAGCAGCGUCUCCUUCGCUUGUUCCCCAAUAUGAAGUUGCUGGACGGACAACCGAUGAUGACGGCUGGGCAGGUGCGCGCCGCGUACAUGCAGAGGAACGCGCGAUCGGCAGCAAAGAGGCAGGACAAGUUGACCGAGAAGGGCCGUAGUGACGGCCCAGACAUUUUUGCUAGUCCGCAUGAGGCACGCGAUGAUGUAGGCGAUGCACACGCUGCCUCGGAUGAUAGCGAGAGAGACAGUAGUUCUGGCGAUGCGCCACGCACGGCACCAAUGGCACGCGCCGUGGCACGAUCCCCUGCCCGCAAAGCACGCCGUGCCGACUCUGCCGUCAUCGCCGCGGAGGCGGAUGAGAAGGACGUCGUCGUCGAGGCUCCCUUGUCAGUCGUCAAGACUGCGCACGCGCCGAUCGUGCGACGGGAGCGCGUGCUGCUGCGUCCUGGAGCCGCCGCUGCUUCAGGUAGUAACGCGGCCGCGGCGGGGCAGAAGCGAAAGGCUGGCCAGACUCCGACAUCACCCGCCGCUGCCGUUUACGGGCAGGCGGCCGUCGCAAAGUUGCUCGAGCAGAGCCGCAGCAGGAGUGCGUGGUAGAGAUGCGUGUGUGCCAGUGUGCGUGUGUAUGUGUCCUUGAGUCCGCUGUCGUAGCGACUUGCCCCGCGUGUAUAGCCAGUCGUGGUCAUACACCUUCACCCAUGCACGAGCGCGGUAGCCAUGAGGUGUACUCCGCCCAGCCUCUCUGGCUCUCCCACUCUCCUCGUUGUGUUAAGCCACCUCCGUGAGCGAGUGACUGCCCCGCAUAAGCACCAGCAACGCCACACAUGCACGUAAAACUUUGCAUCUUCGCAUACGCGCCGGUGUGCCGGAGCACGUGGUGCGCCGACGUGCGCGUGUAUGCGCGCUGCGUUGUCUACGUCGCGACCCUCCUUCCCCUGCGUUCUACUCUCCUCUCGCUCUCUCGUUGGCGAGGACAUGACGGUUUGCUGUACAUGCCGCUCCCCAUUUUCCCCGCCACUUCUGUGCUCAUUUUCGUGUUGCGUGCAUUAUCGCGACCCGGCUGCCCACCCCCUGCUGACGGUCAG